ACCCGGCCAGGAGCCUGCGAGGACGGCCUGGAAGAAGGCGCCCCGAGGGCUCCAGGCAAAUACUGGGUUUGCGAGGAAACACAGGGCCAUCCCACGGACCCACCAUGGCUGUGGGAACUGAGCCCUGAGGAGCCAGAAAAGCGGGAGGAUGAGAGUUCAGUGGUCGAGGCUCGACUGGCCAGAGCUGACUCAUGAGGCCUGUUGCUCGGCGCCUGCUGGGGUUCCUGGUGCAGGUUUUCAAAGCCAGAGCAUGGAUUCCUUAGCGCUUACCAAAGGUGACUAACAAGAGUGUGGUGGAUCCUCUUGGUUCCCUAUCCAGAUCCCUUCCCGGACUGAGUACCCACCCUCCUGUGGUGUGGCAAAAAUGGCAAAACCAAAGAGACAAGGAUCAAGGCAAGUCUGAGGAUUUGGAGGAAAAGGACUAUUGCUAUACUUUUCUACAUGUGGAGAGGAGUGAAAAAUACAUUGGUGGAAUGCCAGCAGACUCACCCCUGAAUAGCACCCUUCAGCACCUGACUCUGCCACAAUCUGGGGCAAAAUAACAAUGAGGAAGUCAUUCCAUCUUAGCACGUUGCAGAAAAAGGUAGGAUAGAGAAAAUGGAAGGAAAGAAGAGGAAAGGGAGCAUAAGGGAGAAAAAAUAGGAGGAAGAAUGGAAGA